GGGGUCAAUGGAGCUCCCGGCCUACCUGGCCAACCAGGACCACCAGGGUCAUCAGGACUAUCUGUCAAGGGAGAUCCUGGUGAAGUAGGAGCCAAAGGUUUACGUGGGAAGCCGGGUGUGAAAGGAGACAAAGGAGAGUCAGGAAUAGAUGGUAUUGCAGGUUUGCCUGGUCCCAUAGGCAUUGAUGGGGUGCCAGGAUUACCUGGUCAGAAAGGAGAGAAGG